UGGUUCUGGCAUNGAUGAAGAACGCAGCGAAAUGCGAUAAGUAAUGUGAAUUGCAGAAUUCAGUGAAUCAUCGAAUCUUUGAACGCACAUUGCGCCCGCCAGUAUUCUGGCGGGCAUGCCUGUUCGAGCGUCAUUUCAACCCUCAAGCCCCAGCGGCAUGGUGUUGGGGACCGGCGACCUCGCCUGAGCCCGCCCUCCGGGGCGCGUGCCCGGGCGUCCGCCGCCCCCGAAAUGAAUUGGCGGCCUCGUCGCGGCCUCCUCUGCGUAGUAGCACAACCUCGCAAGCGGGAGCGCGACGCGGCCACUGCCGUAAAACGCCCAACUUUUUUAGAGUUGACCUCGGAUCAGGUAGGAAUACCCGCUGA
rnacentral:misc_RNA from 1 species